rnacentral:rRNA from 1 species
UAGUCAUAUGCUUGUCUCAAAGAUUAAGCCAUGCAUGUCUAAGUAUAAACAACUCGUACUUGUGAAACUGCGAAUGGCUCAUUAAUCAGUUAUAGUUUAUUUGAUGGUAUUUUUUUCUUACUUGGAUAACCGUUUGAAAAUAGAGCUAAUACAUGCCUAGAAACCUGACCGCAAGGGAGGGUUGUAUUUAUUAGAUAAAAAACCGACAUUACUUCGGUGAAUCAUAAUAACUUUGCGAAUCGCAUGAGCUUGUCUCGGCGAUGCUUCAUUCAAAUUUCUGCCCUAUCAACUUUCGAUGGUAGUAUAGAGGACUACCAUGGUGAUAACGGGUAACGGGGAAUUAGGGUUCGAUUCCGGAGAGGGAGCCUGAGAAAUGGCUACCACUCCUAAGGAAGGCAGCAGGCGCGCAAAUUACCCAAUCCUAACACAGGGAGGUAGUGACAAGAAAUAACGAAGCUGGGCCCAUCGGGUCUAGCUAUUGGAAUGAGUACAAUUUAAACCCCUUAACGAGUAACAAUU